rnacentral:tRNA from 1 species
GCAGUGGUGGUUCAGUGGUAGAAUUUUCCCUUUCCAUGUGGGAGACCCAGGUUCAAAUCUGACCAAUGUA